GGUUAUGGCUCAGGGGUAGAGUGCUUGCCUCGCACAUGCAAGGUCCUGGGUUCAAUCCUCAGCACCA
rnacentral:tRNA from 1 species